UCCAAAACCUAUUAAACCUUUAACAACUCCUUCAAAAAUUAUUCAACAUACUGAUGGUACUAUUCAAAUAGAAUUUUCUCCAGCUUCUAGAUAUUCUUUCAAUCAAGAUUUCAUGUCUUCAAGACCUUCUACUUCAAAUGCUAGCUUAAAUAGUGUCAAUUUUGCUCCAAAAAUUCCUAUUCCUGUUUAUCAACAAAAUGAAUCUCCU
rnacentral:lncRNA from 1 species